GGUACAGAGGGAUGCUACCGGGCGACCGGAUGCGGAUCUCGAAAGCCUGUCCCAGUUCGGACUGGAGUCUGCAACCCGACUCCACGAAGUUGGAUUCGCUAGUAAUCGCGCAUCAGCCAUGGCGCGGUGAAUACGUUCCCGGGCCUUGUACACACCGCCCGUCAAGCCAUGGGAGCCGGGGGCGCCUGAAGUCCGGGACCGCGAGGACCGGCCUAGGGCGAAACUGGUAACUGGGGCUAAGUCGUAACAAGGUAUC
rnacentral:rRNA from 1 species